rnacentral:misc_RNA from 1 species
GAAAUGCGAUAAGUAAUGUGAAUUGCAGAAUUCAGUGAAUCAUCGAAUCUUUGAACGCACAUUGCGCCCCUUGGUAUUCCGAGGGGCAUGCCUGUUCGAGCGUCAUUUAAACCAAUCCAGCUUGCUGGGUCUUGGGCUCUCGCCUCUGGGCGGGCCUCAAAAUCAGUGGCGGCGCCUCCCGGCUCUACGCGUAGUAAUUCUUCUCGCGAUGGGGUCCCGGGUGGUCGCUGGCCAGCAACCCCUAAUUCUUAAAGGUUGACCUCGGAUCAGGUAGGGAUACCCGCUGAACUUAA